AAGGAAUAUUGGUCAAUGGACGCAAGUCUGAACCAGCCAUGCCGCGUGAAGGAUGAAGGUCCUCUGGAUUGUAAACUUCUUUUAUCUGGGACGAAAACGGGAUUUUUAUCUCAAUUGACGGUACCAGAGGAAUAAGCACUGGCUAACUCCGUGCCAGCAGCCGCGGUAAUACGGAGGGUGCGAGCGUUAUCCGGAUUUACUGGGUUUAAAGGGUGCGUAGGUGGGCUUAUAAGUCAGUGGUGAAAUCUCCGAGCUUAACUUGGAAACUGCCGUUGAUACUAUAGGUCUUGAAUUAUCUGGAGGUAAGCGGAAUAUGUCAUGUAGCGGUGAAAUGCUUAGAUAUGACAUAGAACACCAAUCGCGAAGGCAGCUUACUACAUAUAAAUUGACGCUGAGGCACGAAAGCGUGGGGAUCAAACA
rnacentral:rRNA from 1 species